AACGCACCUUGCACCCUUUGGUAUUCCGAAGGGUACACCCGUUUGAGUGUCAUUGUAAUCUCACUUCAACGACUUUAUUGUUGUUUGAAUGUGGACUUGGACGUCUGCCAUGUAACAAUGGCUCGUCUUAAAUGCCUGAGUGUACCCCGCUUUGCGGCGUAUUCGGUGUGAUAAACAUUUCACCGGAAUUUGGUCUUUAUUGACCGCGCUUUUAGCAAUUGGUGGGCUCUAUGCUUUCUAACCGUCUGCCUCUGUGGACAAUCUCUUGACAAUUUGACCUCAAAUCGGGUGGGACUACCCGCUGAACUUAA
rnacentral:misc_RNA from 1 species